CCUUUACCAUCUCCUCACUGUUGGGCUCCCGUGUUCUUCCUUAGCACUUCCCAUGAACCUGGACCAGGACCAGAGGGAGGUGCAAAUUUGCCAAGUACCGCAGGAGAAAUCAGGUGGCCUUCUGAUUCAGAGCGAUUCAGGGUGGGACCUUAAGGAAAAACAAUUCUGCGGCCCCAUCUAAUCGGGUAGGGACAGGACACAAGAGCAUCCAUCAACAACUUGCACAGGAGGAAAUCUGUCUUCCUUUUUGCAAUCACCAUAAAGCCUGGCAGAAUAAGGGCCUUUGCAUAAGCAAACUUUGGGGGAAAAUUAUUUAGAGUUCCAGGAGAGAUGUAAAUUUCUCACUGGACACUGCCUUUUGAAGAGAAUAUUCUGAAAGCAUUUGGGAUUUUCACGAUUAUGUUAAUAGAUGCACCUUCUAACUACAUUAAAUUAUAGAGAAUUCUAUCACAAAAUCAAUAUCAUUUGUAAAAAUUCCCAAAGCCUUAAGUUAGCUAUUGUAAUUUUGAUUAAUUGAAUACAAUUAUUUAUCUCACAGAUGGGAAAGGAUAAAGGAUUUUUAAAAUUGCUAAACUGCUAAUGAUUUAUGAUUAAAGAAAUGGAGCAGUUAUUAUUAUGCUUGCUCAUUUUUAGAACCAAUGAGUUGUGCAAAAAAGCCAAAAGGAGACAAAUAUAAAUUUUUAUGAGUUAUUAUCAUUAAAUUUUAAAAGGGAAGAUAAUAUUCUUAUAAUAGAAAAAUAUUAAAAUGAAAUGAUGUCAACCUAAAGAGAAAAUUGUUGUAAGUUAACCAAUUUCUUUUUAAUGUUCUACAAUCUGCAGUCAAAAUGGUCAGUUAUUAUUUUUAACCUGAAAAUAUUUUCCUAUUAACUGUACUAUCUUUGUCCAACUUAAUAUGACUACUCUUUAUAGGUAGGAAUCUGAAUUCUAUAUAUUGUACUAACCCUAUAUAUUUUCUGAAGUUCCUGUGAUUUAAUUUUCCAACCAAAUAUUAAAUUUGUUUCAAAUACACACAUGCAUGUACCCAGGCAUGCACACGCAAAGAUAAUGUUAGGGACAUGGGCUCUAUGUAGUUCUGCAGAGCCUGUGCUUUGAAGAACCCCUCUUUUGUUUACUACUCUGCUGUCACUGUGUUAAAAUUCUUAAUUAUUUUUGAACAUUUUCACUUUGCACUGGGUCUCACAAAUUCUGUAACUGGUCAUGCACUCUACAAAUGUUGUUACACAUGAAUAACGAUACAUGUCUUUAAGGUGGCUUCAGUCUGGUGUGAAAAGCAAAUGUUAAAUUUGUAAUUCCAAGAAUGAAAAAUGUUUGGCAAGGAAAAGAUGGCAUGUUAUUUUUAACCAGAGAUUUAAGAUAAGUUAAAUCCAUUUUGUAGUGAAAUAAGGGCCCAGAAAAAGUUAAUUGACCUGUUCAAUGGAAACAAAGCAACUAGAGGAGUGAAUUACCUUUAACUCUAGAUCUGCUCUGUUUGAUUUCCAAGUCUGAGCUUGGGAGAAAAAUUUGAAUCUUAUCAAAUGACUACUAGGCAUCUAUUUACAUGGUCAUGUUUUUUCUUGUAGCAUUACUGAACAAACCAUACAUUUAACAUAAUGCUGAAUUUAAAUUGCUAAUAUUGGGAUUUUGAAAUUCUACUUACAGUCAGGGUAUGUUUGUACUUCAUAUUCAACUUGAAUUGGCCUAGUUUUGUCAGAUUUUGCUAACUUCAUAGUAGGAAUUGGAGUAUCAUUGUUUGUAAAAGUUGCAUUAAAGCUUUCUAUAAACUAUUUUUUUUCUGGAAGAGUUACUGGAGAAUUCAAAAAUAAAACAUACUUCAUUUUAGGGAACAAAAUUCAGCUAUAGGAUGAGACUGUCAGUUUUGAGUAUUUUAAGAGACAAAAUGAAAAGGUUUGUUCUCAAGGCUUAAUCAAAAUGGCCGUGUCAGAAUGUCAGGAACUCUGUUGGAGAUGUACGUGUCAGCAUACUGGUGAUGGCCAGAGUCAUGGAAAUGAAUGAAAUCACUCAACCUGCAUAUUAGAAAAAGAAAACUUGUGCCUGGAGGAAUCUUGAAAUACAGCAACACAGGGUAGAUGGGGACAGUGCCUACUGGCAAGUAGUGGCAGAAAAGUCGGAAAGUCAGGAGUCAGCACCCCAGAAGGCAAGGGAGGACAGAAUUUCAAAACAGAGUAAGCAGUUAGUGUUUCCAGAAGUCACAGAGAGGUUGAGCAAGAUAAAUGUUGAAAAAUAUGUCUACUAAAUUUGGCAGAGCAGAGAUUAUCCAUGGUCCUCAUGACAACAGUUUGAGAAGAGCAGUGUACAUAGAUUUGUGGGGAGCGAGGGAAGAAGGAAAUAAAGUGAGAGGGAACAACUCUUUCAAGAUGUAUGGUAGCAAUAAAAGGAAGAGAACAAUGAUUUGAAAGGUGAGUAAGGAAUAAUGGAAGCUUUAGUUAUCAAGGAGCACUUGAGAAUACUUACUAAUUAAUUAAUAAAAAGGUUUAGUCCAAGUAGGAGAGGAUAACUCAAAGAAACCAGAGAUGGCUGACUUGCUUUUCUUAUAUUCUCUUCAUUUUUGUUUCCGUUUUAAGUUUUUCCCUUAAACUUUAU